GGGCUAGUGAGCAGGUAAGAACGG
rnacentral:piRNA from 1 species